UCUUUGAUUAAACCGCGCCAAUCACAAAACAGAAUUAGUGGUUUUAGUACAGAUUCUAAAACCACUAAUUUUGGUUUGUGAUUGGCGCGGUUUAAUCAAAGAAUC
rnacentral:miRNA from 1 species